ACGGACACAUCACGUUGAAACACUGGUUCGCGGACGAUCACCGAAGUUAAACAACGUCGUGCUUGGUCAAUACCUAGAUAGGUGACCGCCUGGGAAUAUCGGGUGCUGUAAG